rnacentral:tRNA from 1 species
UGCGGGAAUAGCUCAGUUGGUAGAGCACGACCUUGCCAAGGUCGGGGUCGCGAGUUCGAGCCUCGUUUCCCGC